AAAAACAUAAAAGUAAAACUUAAUUGUUUAUUGCAUUUUUUGUUAUAUCUUCUAUAAAGAAAUGCAAGUUACCAUACCUCUCUUUGCUUUUGCCAAGUGUAACAGUUGACCACUAUUUGAGUUUGAUACAAUUUGUCCCAAUAUUUCCUACCAUUUUAAAAAAUAAAAUAAAAUUGAGGGUAAGAAAUCGAUUGAAUAUAUUAGUAUCCACAAGCAGAGGUAUGAACAUGUGUAUGACACAAUUUUCUUAAAACAAAUUCUCAUCUCUUUUUUUGGGUUUUAAGUUAGACAAUGUAUUUCUGGCAAAAUACAUGAGUAUUAGAUACCUACUAUACUUGCACAAAACUAUGUGCCAAACAUCUAUCAUACACCUGGAAUUCCUAAAACUUUGUAAGGCUUAGGGCUUUGGUUAGCGUGCCUGGAGGGCAAUAAUUGAAUUAUUUUUGUUAAUAUGUGAAUUUGUUAAGUAUGUGAUUAGAAAUACAUGUUUAGGUGAAUUAAAUGUAUAUGUGGGUCCCAUUUGGUUGCUAGGGGCAUAAUUGUAAUUUUAGUCUGUUGAGGGCAUAAAUGCAAUAUUUGUAUAUUGUGAUUGAUACUACGUGUGAGUGGUAAUAUAUUUGUGAUGCAUGAUCCGAGACGGUCCUAAGGACCUGUUUAGCUAGAAAGUCACAACGGGGUCAAAUACCCGGCUCAGGAGGGGUUUAUGGGUAUUUUGGGAAUGUUACAAUGUGUUCGGGAAUUAUUGAGUAAUGGUUAGUAGCUUAUCAAUAAUUUGGUAUGUUGGGAUUAAGUGGGGAUUCAUAGGAAUACUUGAGGACUUAGCGAGAUUUGGGUGAAAUGACUAAAUUGCUCUUGGAGGCACUUAAGGAUUUAAAUAAAGCUCAAGGGUAUUUUGGACCUUUUGUAUAGGAGGGGAUUUUGAUCAAAUAAUGUAGCUGAUUCUAGGGUCAUGUAGAAGGAAAUUAGAAGGAAAAGAAAAUAGAAGGAAACUCUCAGCUUUUUUUCUCUUUCUCCCCAAUCGGUUCUCCCUCUCUAAGGUGUUGAUUUUGGAGGAUCUUAAAACAGAAACUCAGGAGCUCAAGAGCUUAACUAGGAUCAAGGACUUGGCAAGGUUCAGUUGGGGAUUAAAGGAUUUGGGCUUGGAAUUGAAUUUGAAAGAAGCUCAGGGACGAAUUUCUACUUGAGGUUUUCAGCGAGGCUCGGGUUAGAGGACUGUGCUCGUGAUUUCGGUGCUCAAGAAGCUCGGGACACAAGUAAGAAAACUGCUGUACCCGUAGAGCAGGGUGAGGCCCCAUAGUUAUGUUGCAAGGCACGACCCUAUAUGAUUGUGUGCAGGGCAUAGCCCAUUGAUUAUG